GGAUGAGCCCGCGGCCUAUCAGCUUGUUGGUGAGGUAAUGGCUCACCAAGGCGUCGACGGGUAGCCGGCCUGAGAGGGUGACCGGCCACACUGGGACUGAGACACGGCCCAGACUCCUACGGGAGGCAGCAGUGGGGAAUAUUGGACAAUGGGCGGAAGCCUGAUCCAGCAACGCCGCGUGAGGGAUGACGGCCUUCGGGUUGUAAACCUCUUUCAGCAGGGACGAAGCGAAAGUGACGGUACCUGCAGAAGAAGGACCGGCCAACUACGUGCCAGCAGCCGCGC
rnacentral:rRNA from 1 species